GAUGAAGAACGUAGCGAAAUGCGAUAAGUAAUGUGAAUUGCAGAAUUCAGUGAAUCAUCGAAUCUUUGAACGCACAUUGCGCCCGCCAGUAUUCUGGCGGGCAUGCCUGUUCGAGCGUCAUUUCAACCAUCAAGCCCCCGGCUUGUGUUGGGGACCUGCGGCUGCCGCAGGCCCUGAAAUGCAGUGGCGGGCUCGCUGUCACUCCGAGCGUAGUAGUUACAUCUCGCUCUGGGCGUGCUGCGGGUUCCGGCCGUUAAAAGCCUUAUUUACCCAAGGUUGACCUCGGAUCAGGUAGGAAGACCCGCUGAAUUUAAGCAUAUCAAUAAGCGGAGGA
rnacentral:misc_RNA from 1 species